UACAGAGGUCUCAAGCGUUGUUCGGAUUCAUUGGGCGUAAAGGGUGCGUAGGCGGCGCGGUAAGUCGGGUGUGAAAUCUCGGAGCUUAACUCCGAAACUGCAUUCGAUACUGCCGUGCUUGAGGACUGGAGAGGAGACUGGAAUUUACGGUGUAGCGGUGAAAUGCGUAGAUAGUCGUAAGGAAGACCAGUGGCGAAGGCGGGUCUCUGGACAGUUCCUGACGCUGAGGCACGAAGGCUAGGGGAGCAAACGGG
rnacentral:rRNA from 1 species